GGGGAUGUAGCUCCAGGGUAGGGCGCUUGCUUGGCAUGCAGGAGGCACUAGGUUCGAUUCCCAAUGCCACCA
rnacentral:tRNA from 1 species